rnacentral:rRNA from 1 species
AUUCCAGCUCCAAUAGCGUAUAUUAAAGUUGUUGCAGUUAAAAAGCUCGCAGUUGGAUUUCAGUCUAGGAAGGUUAACUCGCCGAAAGGUUGUACGUUGAUUUUCCUCAGACUUCGUCAGAAGCUCGUGCUGCACUUAACUGUGUGGUACGAUGUUCUGACCUUUUACCUUGAGGAAAGUAGAGUGUUUCGAGCAGGCUACCCAGCUUGAAUACAUUAGCAUGGAAUAAUGAAAUGGAUCUCGGUUCGAUUUCGUUGGUUCUAGAGCUGAGGUGAUGAUCAAUAGGAACAGGCGAAGGUAUUCGUACUUGAGAGUGAGGAGUGAAAUCCGAUGAUCUCUUAAAGACGAUCCGAGGCGAAAGCAUUUGUCAAGGAUGUUUUCAUUG